CUGUGAGAAUUCCUUUCCAUAUUAGCUUUCAGCAAUUUCCCAAAGGAGGGGAGAAACAGAAGAUGAGAGGCACUAUGAUUGGGGAAACCUGCUGUAUCACUGGGAAUUAAUUAUUCCUAAUUAGUACUUAAAUAAAGCCUUCUAUCCCAGAAGCACCACAAUUCCACAUGACCAAGCUGAAAUCAGAGUCAGUAUCUCAAAGCCACUUGCAAUACAAGUUCAGAAGCCGAGACUUGAAAGCUGUCCUGUGGAGGAUAAAAGACACAUCAGCUGGCUGAACAUUUGUAAGAGCCUCAUAAAGCGACAUCUUCAGCAUGAAGCAGCUGACUGGAGCCAGACGCAGAAUUAUUUCAACACCUGUUGAAACAAGCUGUCUUGGGUCAGGUCCAACCUGUUGGUAACAGCUGGGUGCUGGAGCACAGAAUCAGCCAUGGCAGGGACCAGAAAUGCCACCAAAGUCAUUGCAAGGGACAGAGUUAAGGUCCCAGACUCCCUUCCUGGCCCAAAGCCUCACUUCAUCCUACACUAAGGCUGGAAGAGAAACAGUCAAACCUGAGAAAGCAAAGAUCUUGUGGAAUAACAUAAGAACAUUACUGAGAGGAACCGCAUUAUUGAUUCUAUAUUCAUUGAAGUUGUUAUGAAGAUUCCCAGAUGUCAACACCACAAGAUGGAAACCACUUCUAAAUGUACAGCUUGAGUGAAGAAUACACGGACAGAGAUUAUUUAAAAUACGCUUGGGAUGAUCAGCACAUCCAGUUUUAGAAAAUGUAUUUUUGGUGAAGCAUUAAUAUUUAAUUAUACUACAGAGAAGCUGUUUGAACACUUAGAAAGAAUUGGGCCGUUUUUAGAGGCCGUACUCCUGCUUAAAUGUUGCAUCCAAUGGACAGUGGUUCUUUUUGCCACAUGUACAGCAUUUACCGUGUUCCAUAACACAACUUAUCUGAUACCCUCGGGAUGUGAUGCAAGAUAGCACAUGACCAUUCUGAAGCCUGUGGUGCACAUAAUGCUAUCUUCCAGCCAGGCAAAAAUCUCCAUCAACUGCAAGAGGGGCCAAUAAGGAGCAUCUCAGUUAUCCUCACCUGAAUUCAGAAACUUCCUUCACUGUAAAUCCCACUCAGACAAAAGAAAGCAGCAAAUUGUCAAUUGGGUUGCGGGGCAUUUUUUACCAGUGCCAGUCUGUCCUUGGAAAAAAUGGCCUAUUCUGGUUUUCAAUGUUUUUAGUUAAAAUUUGUCUCAUUUGAGGAUCAUCUGAUGCCCGUUGUCUGACAACUCUUAGAAAAAAUAAAUAUUCAUAUAAUUCUAUUCUUAAGUUUCGAGCAAGGUUGACAAUUGUAUAUUUACAAAACAAACAACCACAAAACCCACAAACCCACCCACACAAACCACACAUACAAGCACACCGAGAGCAUGAACC
ensembl:lncRNA